UACGGAGGGUGCAAGCGUUAUCCGGAUUCACUGGGUUUAAAGGGUGCGUAGGCGGGCAGGUAAGUCCGUGGUGAAAUCUCUGAGCUUAACUCAGAAACUGCCAUGGAUACUAUUUGUCUUGAAUGUUGUGGAGGUAAGCGGAAUAUGUCAUGUAGCGGUGAAAUGCUUAGAUAUGACAUAGAACACCCACUGCGAAGGCAGCUUACUACACAAAUAUUGACGCUGAGGCACGAAAGCGUGGGGAUCAAACAGG
rnacentral:rRNA from 1 species